CAGAAAUCGGUCCAGUGACAAUUACCACAGAUCCCAAGAAAUUUCAAUAUGAACUCAGAGAACUUUAUGUUCAGGGUGGUGGAGAUUGUCCAGAAAUGAGUAUUGGAGCUAUAAAAAUUGCCUUGGAAAUAUCUCUUCCUGGUUCUUUCAUCUAUGUUUUCACUGAUGCACGGUCCAAGGAUUACCGGCUCACCCAUGAGGUGCUGCAGCUUAUCCAACAGAAACAGUCUCAGGUGGUGUUUGUGCUUACUGGAGACUGUGAUGACAGGAACCAUAUUGGAUAUAAAGUUUAUGAAGAAAUUGCUUCUACAAGUUCUGGU